rnacentral:tRNA from 1 species
UGCCCAAUAGUAUAAUGGUAGUACAGCAGAUUUUGGUUCUGCUUGUCUUGGUUCGAAUCCAGGUUGGGCAA